rnacentral:rRNA from 1 species
UACGUAGGUGGCAAGCGUUGUCCGGAUUUAUUGGGCGUAAAGGGCGCGCAGGCGGUUCGUUAGGUCCGAGGUGAAAUCUCCCGGCUCAACUGGGAGGGGUCUUCGGAUACCGGCGGACUCGAGGUGAGCAGAGGUGAGUGGAAUUCUGGGUGUAGUGGUGAAAUGCGUAGAUAUCCAGAGGAACACCAGUGGCGAAGGCGACUCACUGGGCUCCACCUGACGCUGAGGCGCGAAAGCGUGGGGAGCGAACCGG